rnacentral:rRNA from 1 species
UACGUAGGUGGCAAGCGUUUGUCCGGAUUUAUUGGGCGUAAAGGGCUCGUAGGCGGCGUGUCGCGUCGGGAGUGAAAGCCCGCUGCUUAACGGCGGGUUGGCUUCCGGUACGGGCAUCGCUGGAGUGCGGCAGGGGAGACUGGAAUUCCUGGUGUAGCGGUGGAAUGCGCAGAUAUCAGGAGGGAACACCGGUGGGCGAAGGCGGGUCUCUGGGCCGAUACUGACGUGGAGGAGCG